UAUUCAUCUAUUCCAUUGACUGUUUUUUCUUGGUUCUUCUUUUUGUAUUCCCUCCAGCUCUAUUGGCCGACACCCUCUCUAGCCACAAACUGCUUACCCCUCCAGAUCGCACCUUCAGGUGGCCGCGGACAAUCGUCAUAUGCUCGAUGCGGCUGUCCACUCCAGGCGCCUGACCGGCUGACAUCGCAAACUCCCCGCCGGCUCCUGCGUACGGGUCCACUACAUAAUUGCUGUCGCGCGAGCUGUGGCCUUUGGCCUGGGUGACCUUUGUGUCCGUCGGUACUUCCGCCGCGGGUGAUUCCGCCGAAUCUCCUCGUCUUCUCGGAAGGUCCAAGGGGAUGUUCUUUUGGCUGGACUGUGGCAGCCACUGGCUGCUACGAACAUGCUAUGAGCUAUAGCCAGUCGACAACGUGGCGUCCCAUCCGCUGCAGCAAGGACCCUUGAUCGACGGCGGAAUUGUUGGUUCACGUCCGCGGGAUAUAUUGUGAGCAAGCAGCCGCCGAAUCAAACACUGGGCUUCAUCUUCGACACGCAGGACUAAUGUACCCUAUGUUUUGCCACAAACCGGAUCGUGUCCGACAGCAGGACAGAAGCGCACCCCUUGCACAAUCGGAACCUAACAAUCCAUCUUUAUUCUUCGACAUGGUCAUCGACAACAAGGACUUUGACUAUGGCAACCAAGGAAGGGGCUACGCCGCCUACUAGACUCUAGAUAUAUAUCGUUGUUGGUAGUUUUAAGGAUAUAAGCGCCCAUAUAUUUAUAUAGUAGAUAUAAAUGUUUUCAACUUGUUUAUUUCUUUAUUUA